UACGUAGGUGGCGAGCGUUGUCCGGAUUUACUGGGCGUAAAGAGCGCGCAGGCGGUCGUUCAAGUCGCGUGUGAAAGCCCCCGGCUCAACUGGGGAGGGUCACGCGAUACUGAUCGACUCGAAGGCAGGAGAGGGAAGUGGAAUUCCCGGUGUAGUGGUGAAAUUCGUAGAUAUCGGGAGGAACACCAGAGGCGAAGGCGGCGACCUGGAAGGUGGACUGACACUGAGCAGCGAAAGCGUGGGGAGCAAACAGG
rnacentral:rRNA from 1 species